rnacentral:rRNA from 1 species
AGAGUUUGAUCCUGGCUCAGGAUGAACGCUAGCUACAGGCUUAACACAUGCAAGUCGAGGGGCAGCAUGGUCUUAGCUUGCUAAGGCCGAUGGCGACCGGCGCACGGGUGAGUAACGCGUAUCCAACCUGCCUUACACUCUUGGACAGCCUUCUGAAAGGGAGAUUAAUACAAGAUGUUAUCAUGAGUAAGCAUUUUCGCAUGAUUAAAGGUUUACCGGUGUAAGAUGGGGAUGCGUUCCAUUAGAUAGUAGGCGGGUAACGGCCACCUAGUCUUCGAUGGAUAGGGGUUCUGAGAGGAAGGUCCCCCANAUUGGAACUGAGACACGGUCCAAACUCCGUACGGAGCA